UGCUAAUUGUUAGGCGCUAUGAAUAUAUUU
rnacentral:piRNA from 1 species